CCAGGCGGCUACUUAUGCGUUAGCUUGAGAGCCAGUGUUCAGACACAAACUCCGAGUAGACAUCGUUUACGGCGUGGACUACCAGGUAUCUAAUCCUGUUUGCUCCCCACGCUUUCGUGCAUGAGCGUCAGUCUUUGUCCAGGGGGCCGCCUUCGCCACCGGUAUUCCUCCAGAUCUCUACGCAUUUCACCGCUACACCUGGAAUUCUACCCCCCUCUACAAGACUCUAGUUCGCCAGUUCGAAAUGCGAUUCCUAGGUUGAGCCCAGGGGCUUUCACAUCUCGCUUAACAAACCGCUGCGCACGCUUUACGCCCAGUAAUUCCGAUUAACGCUCGGACCCUCCGUAUUACCGCGGCUGCUGGCACGGAGUUAGCCGGUCCUUCUUCUGUAGGUAACGUCACAGAUGAGCCGUAUUAAGACUCACCCUUUCCUCCCUACUGAAAGUGCUUUACAACCCGAAGGCUUCUUCACACACGCGGCAUGGCUGCAUCAGGGUUUCCCCAUUGUGCAAUAUUCCCCACUGAUGCCUUC
rnacentral:rRNA from 1 species